CGCGAGGUGGGACAACUGGGCCGUGCAUUUUCACGCUACCAAGCGCGCGGCCGCUGGAUAGGCGCUCUCGCGCUCUUCUCCAACCACCAGCCCCGCCACCGUCGGCCAUCAGAGGCGGCGACCAUGUCGAGGUUCUGGAGGUCGGGAUCGGAGAAGCCGAUUACCUUGCUCGUCGACGAGGAGGAGGGCGGCGUCGUAUUCCUCCCCUCCUCCACCAGCUCGGCCUCAUCCGGUUUGGGUACGCGAGCUUGGAGAGACAGCGGCAGCGGCUGCCGGUGUACAAGUACCGCAAAGCCAUCCUCUACCUGGUGGAGCGGCACGCCACGACCAUCGUAGUCGGCGAGACGGCAGUGGCAAGUCCACGCAGACCCCUCAGGAGGCUGGUUAGGCUGAUGGUGGUCGGCUUAUAGGCUGCACUCAGCCCAGACGAUUGGCUAUGCAGGUAUCUGGUGCUUUUAAUGUUCAUUUAGUUGUGCUUGUGCAAAUUGUCUAUUUUAUUCAAAACUAGGUCUUUCUGUUUGAUCAUCUGAUGAGGUCAUGUGUCAUAUUAUUGUUUUGGGAAAAUUGCAAAAACCCACCUGCAACUUUGGAAGUUUGUAAAAAACCCACCUACAACUUCUUUUUCUCUAGUCUCCCACUCGCAACUAUUCUAUGAUGUCAAAUACCCCCCUAUGACCGUUGACCACACCAUGUGGUACCCAUGUGACUUCCUAGGGUUUCGAGAUGUCAUUUCCCACAUCUUGGGGACCAUUUAAACCGACGUAACAUCUCAUUUUUCGGGUUCCUUAUUCAUAUACAGUUGAUUAUUCAUCCUAUAUAUGCAUGCAAAAUUGGAGCGACAGAUAAAUUUAAUUUUUCAGGAGACUAUGAAAUUAAUUCUUGAAGCCACCGUGCCAUUUUGGAAGUCACACAAGCACCAUAUUGUGCGGUCAAAUAGUGCUAGGGGGUAUUUGACAUCAUAUAAGAGUUGCAGGGGGUAGACCGACAAAAAACAAGUUAUAUGUUUUUUUGACAAACCCCUAAAGUUGCAGGUAGAUUUUUGCAAUUUUCCCUAUUGUUUUUGGGGUGUGCAGAAGCAUUUCAUUUUGAUCUAAUAUGAUGCCAAGUUAUGCUCCAUUUACACGUUCUGUUUAGGGAAUACUUCCAUCUGUGUUGUACUUGGAAGACAGUAUGUAAUACUUCCGUUAAAUGUGCCUGCUGAGCGCAAAAUUUUGCAAUCAGGUUUAGCAUGUCCUGAUUCUGCAAUUACUCAUAAAACAUAUAUGCUAGACAGUUUGCAACAGUUGCGUAAUGGCCAUGGUGUCCUAGUAAAAGAUAAUUCGCAAGUCUUGGUAGGUUCCUGUGGGGUUAGCUAAAUAUUUUAGUACUGAAAGCCUGAAAAUUUUACUCUCUUAUGUUUCUUUUCCCUCAAACAUGUAUAUACUAAAUAGUAUUUCAACUUCUGACUAUAUCCUGGCAAAAUGAUGUCCGCUGAAGAAAUAAUCUUCAUGUGGUCCUAGUUUUCUUAGAUCCCGUUCUGAAGCAGUCAGUGGAUAGAUGAUUAUGCUUACUGACUUACAGGAUGGAUGCUGAGUGCACAUUUUACUAGUUUGACACACUGUUGUUGUAUAGUAUUCCUGUUAUGGUAGUUUUUACUGCUCAUAGACUGCAUGUGCAGAUGUUUCCCCUUUUUCUUUUUCUUCUUAUCAUUGCCUUUUCAAUUCAUCUUAGUAA